CUGAGGACUCCUGUGCUUUCUUCCUCGUCCCCACACUUUAAGCACCUCUUCUUCACCUUUCCAAGCUCUUUCCUCCACCGGGAAGGACCGAAGACCUCUUUACUCUGAGUGUGCAUGUCAGAGCCGUACAGGACAGUCCAGCUUCUCCCAGGGCAGGAGCCCCUCCUCGGUCUCCCUCACAGGGCCCCGCACCUCUGCUUCCGCCCCCAGACAUGGAAGGGUCACAACCAGCGGCAGCCAUGUCCACCAGAAAAUGCUUUCCUGAUCCCUCCCCUCAGUGGUCUCAGCAACAACACUGAGAACCCGCAAAACCAAGUGGGUUACUUUUCUGCCUCUCAAUUAAUAAUAUGAUCAAAUAGGUCAUGAUUAAAGACCACUUAUUCUGGG